UCUCCCCACGGCUGCUCUUUGCUAUGGGAAGGUGCUCGAGACGAGGCCCAUCUUCACACGGACACUCUGCCACAACCACGCCACGCGCUGUCAAUGACGCUUGUCGUGUGGUCUUCUGACACAAACGUGUGUCGACGAGGCAAAUGUCGUAAGCUAAUUGACAAACAAUUCCAAGUAUUUCUCCAGAGACACUUCUUCAGCACUUCAGCAAGGGCGCCGCCAUCUUGGGAAAGACCCACAAUGCACUCGGGGUUGGACUGAAGAUGUCAUUAAAAACGUCAUCAUGGUAGACCAGAAAAGCUACAUCCCUGAUUGGCAGAUGAGUGGCAACCCUGAUUAGAAGCACUUGAUGCUCAUCGGUUGUUCUUUACAAAUGCUGUUUUGAAUUAAAGAAAAUUGUACCUACACACUGAAGAAGGCUGUAAAGCCGAAACAUCUGUGUAUGCUAUCCCUGAUGCAG